AUGUGGCUCUUCAGUUCCCUAGUUAUAUCACUCUUUGCACGUGUGCUUCCAGUGAUCUGCUUACUGAAGACUGGAGCGAUCAAACUGGUUGCAUUGCAGUGUGAAAAUCAGAUUCAGAAUAGCUGCAAGGUGCCAUGUACGCGUGAGCCUCUUCUGAAAUCCCAAGUAGCACUACAAGAUCUAUCUGGCACUCAGCUGCCCGGGGAGGGGACCGGGGUUGAGCCGGCAGUAUCGCCAUCGGUGCCUAUGACCUCGUUGCGGUUCGGGUCCUUUGAGCCAGCAUCAGCGCCACCUAGACUUUGGAGUGACCGGGUGGAUUCUGAGGAUUUGUUCGAGUGCACGCUUCCUCUGUUAGAGUUUGAGGGGGCUGACGGUUCUGGACGCUUGGUGAGGGACUCAUCGGCGAGGACUCUGGAUGGAGUCGGGGUGGGGGAGCCGGAGGUCGCUUCUCUUUCCCUUCCUCCUCUUGUGGUCGAGGCUCCGGUGCGGAUUGCUACCUGUGGGCUGCUGUUGGGAGGAGGGGGUCGGGGCAGGAGGCCUUGA
rnacentral:rRNA from 1 species